rnacentral:tRNA from 1 species
GGACGAUUAGCUCAGCUGGUUAGAGCGCUUCCCUUACAAGGAAGAAGUCACUGGUUCGAAUCCAGUAUCGUCCACAA